GAUGAACGCUGGCGGCGUGCUUAACACAUGCAAGUCGAACGGAGUUUACAUGUGAGCGGAGGGUGCUUGCAUCUAACAAUCUUUUGUAAACUUAGUGGCGGACGGGUGAGUAACGCGUGGGUAACCUGCCGUAUACAGGGGGACAACAGUUGGAAACGACUGCUAAUACCGCAUAAGCGCACAGGACCGCAUGGUCUGGUGUGAAAAACUCCGGUGGUAUACGAUGGACCCGCGUCUGAUUAGCUAGUUGGUGAGGUAACGGCCUACCAAGGCGACGAUCAGUAGCCGGCCUGAGAGGGUGAACGGCCACAUUGGGACUGAGACACGGCCCAAACUCCUACGGGAGGCAGCAGUGGGGAAUAUUGCACAAUGGGGGAAACCCUGAUGCAGCGACGCCGCGUGAGUGAAGAAGUAUUUCGGUAUGUAAAGCUCUAUCAGCAGGGAAGAAAAUGACGGUACCUGACUAAGAAGCACCGGCUAAAUACGUGCCAGCAGCCGACGG
rnacentral:rRNA from 1 species